rnacentral:rRNA from 1 species
UACAGAGGGGGCAAGCGUUGUUCGGAAUUACUGGGCGUAAAGGGCGCGUAGGCGGCCUGCUAAGUCGAACGUGAAAUCCCCGGGCUCAACCCGGGAACUGCGUCCGAUACUGGUGGGCUUGAAUCCGGGAGAGGGAUGUGGAAUUCCAGGUGUAGCGGUGAAAUGCGUAGAUAUCUGGAGGAACACCGGUGGCGAAGGCGGCAUCCUGGACCGGCAUUGACGCUGAGGCGCGAAAGCUAGGGGAGCAAACGGG